rnacentral:lncRNA from 1 species
AAGAAAGGUGUGACAUCCUUGCUGGCUUCAAUGUGAAGAGCCACCCUGAUUCUGGGAUUCUGAUAGGAAUAAGGUAGAUGAUGCAUAUCUGAACCUGGAAACCGCUUCCCACUGUAGAGCGUGUCUGAGUCAUGUCCCUUAGCUUCAGCAGAGCAGAUCCAGCAGGCUCUGAGCUUGACCUCUUUGCCUGAAGCGAGACCUCUAGGUAACGUCUCCAGGGAGGGUGGCACAAAGGAUCCUGGAUCUCCUGAUCACAGCAGCCCAAGAGUGCCGUGUGUGCACCAUGGCUCAAGAAGACUUAAAAAGGGGAAAGUAUGACUAUUUCUAAUCUGUAGUAUUUCAGUAUUUUUAAUGUUUCGGUAAUCUGUAUGAAAAAGAAUUUGCAAUAAAUAGAAUAAUUUGCCUAAAAUUGAAUCUAUUUCACCAAUAAAAUUGGCUUUUAAUCAAGUGAUAAAUCCUGUAAAAUAGAUAAUAAAUGCAGUACCAACAUAGUUUGAUUCUAGUACACUGAGAUAAUCUUGAAUACGUUAAGAAAGUCUUGUUUGUAUAGAAGAGUUUCAAAUCAUGUGAGUGAUGAAGGGACCCUUCUGUUGAACCUUGGUGUGCAUUUUAGGUCCAUUUUGGGUUUACUCCUUUGUGCUGCUUCAUGAUGCCUUAGGACAAGGACAAGGCCUAGGCCUCCUUGUCUCAGUUCCCUCCUGCUCUCUCUGUUGCCCUCCUCCUUCCACCUGGAGCAUGGCCCAGCAUCAGGUUGGCGCAUGCUGUGAUCAGCUACCUCCAUGUACCACACCAAGCAAAGCUCUCUGGGUGACACAGUUGCCACCACCAGGGCACUGACCCUUACUCUGUGUUCUCCUAGCUCCUCCUGAGGGUGCUGUAGGAGACAUCUGCAAAAAAGAAGAUGCUGGCAAUAUGCCAUCAACCUCAGAGGGGAGUAUUUACCUUGAAAUGGCUCACUUCCUGAGGAACAAACUUGCUGGAUCUAGUGUACGGAAACCUGAUUCUGGGUUCCUUUGGGAAGGAGCAUUACGGGCCUGAUAACCCUAAGGAAUAUCUUGGAUGUCUUCACGGGGCUUAUGACUUAUUCUGAGGUUUACAAAAUAGAGGCCCCCAGCUGAGCAAAGAGAGGGCUGCAGCGCCGAGGGAACAGCUGCCGGACUCACCGGAGAGGCCUCCUGGAGCACGCCGGGACCCCCUCCACCCCCUGGCUUUGG